AGUAAGCUUCAUAGAACUCAGACACAAACUCAGGUGAGCAUAACGUCUUUUAAGAAAGUUAAUUGGACAUAUCUCAGAAAAACUUGGUUCAAUAAUCCCAUUCUGGGUUCGAGGGCUCAUAGAGCAGACAGAUGGAGGAUUCUCUGGAAGGUGGAUCUGGACAUGGUGAUUCAGAGUUCUGGCUUGUUUCCUUUGGGUCAUUUUGGACAUCCUGUGGUUUUCUGGAGCUGUCCGUGGUGCUGCUGUUUAACUGAUGGACUCAAAAUCCUGCUUUUGAUAGAUGAUGAUAACAAGAGCCAAAGCAGUGCUGCAUGUUAAAAAUAAUUUUGUAUUAAGUAAUACAUUUCUAAUUCUCACCAAAGCUGCAUUUAUUUGAUGAAAAAUACAGUAAUAUUGUGAAAUAUUGUUCAAAUUUAAAAUAGCUGCUUUGUAUUUGAAUAAAUUAAUUUCUGUGAUGGCAAAGCUGAACUUUCAGCAUCAUUAAUCCAAUCAUCAGAGUCAUAUGAUCCUUCAGAGAUCAUUCUAAUAGGUUGAUUUUCUGCUCAAGAAACAUUAUCGGUGUCGAAAACAGUACAUUAACAAUAUAAUAUAUUCAUUAUUUGCGAUACUGUAGCAAGCAGCAACAGGCCAUAGAACAAGACGUGGUUGGUUAGCAUGUGGUCAGUUAGAUCUGUAGGUAGAUGCUGUAACUAUACUAUUCUACAGUCAAAAGGCAUCUUUCUUUAUUGACAACCUUUCCCUUUCUCAUUAUAUUUACUACAUAGGCUACAAGAGCAAAAAAGCAGUAUAGUUUUAUGUUAUUCUGAACUCAACUCUUUCCCAUCAUGAUUGGAAACUGCACUAUAAUGUUGUUGCGUGAAUAAACACUAAGUCAGGGUCAAGGUAAGGUUUUUUAUAUAGGCUAGAUGAGUGCUGACCACAACAGACAAAACAUGACAUAUCACUCUCCAAAGAAAGAAGAUCUGAGAUGUAGGUGGUCACUAGAGGGCGACAAACGCAUGCACAAAAUGAUCCGUAAGCCCUGAGAACGCUCUCCACAUGCUAAGGUGAUAAAUUAACUCUUAAAACAAUAAAUAGUGUAUUAUACUCGUUUUGAAAGGAUGAUUUAAAAAUAAAGCAUAAAUGAUUCAUACUUAAGUGAAUAAACGUAAUAUGCCAUACAAUCACC
ensembl:lncRNA